CGCGCCCAUAGCUCAGUGGAUAGAGCAUCGAUCUUCUAAAUCGGGUGUCGCAGGUUCGAAUCCUGCUGGGCGCGCCCA
rnacentral:tRNA from 1 species